rnacentral:rRNA from 1 species
UCGAUUUGGAGUUUGUUGCCUUGAGUGAUGGGCUCCGAAGCUAACGCGAUAAAUCGACCGCCUGGGGAGUACGGCCGCAAGGUUAAAACUCAAAUGAAUUGACGGGGGCCCGCACAAGCGGUGGAGCAUGUGGUUUAAUUCGAUGCAACGCGAAGAACCUUACCUGGUCUUGACAUCCACAGAAUCUUGCAGAGAUGCGAGAGUGCCUUUGGGAACUGUGAGACAGGUGCUGCAUGGCUGUCGUCAGCUCGUGUUGUGAAAUGUUGGGUUAAGUCCCGCAACGAGCGCAACCCUUAUCCUUUGUUGCCAGCGGUUUGGCCGGGAACUCAAAGGAGACUGCCGUUGAUAAAGCGGAGGAAGGUGGGGACGACGUCAAGUCAUCAUGGCCCUUACGACCAGGGCUACACACGUGCUACAAUGGCGUAUACAAAGGGAGGCGACCUCGCGAGAGCAAGCGGACCUCACAAAGUACGUCUAAGUCCGGAUUGGAGUCUGCAACUCGACUCCAUGAAGUCGGAGUCGCUAGUAAUCGUGAAUCAGAAUGUCACGGUGAAUACGUUCCCGGGCCU